UCCUCCGUGGCGCAAUUGGCUAGCGCGUCUGACUGUUAUUAAACAGAUCAUCAGGAGGUUGACAGUUCAAGCCUGUCCGGGGGAG